rnacentral:rRNA from 1 species
AUUGAACGCUGGCGGCAUGCCUUACACAUGCGAGUCGAACGGCAGCACGGGUGCUUGCACCUGGUGGCGAGUGGCGAACGGGUGAGUAAUACAUCGGAACAUGUCCUGUAGUGGGGGAUAGCCCGGCGAAAGCCGGAUUAAUACCGCAUACGAUCUACGGAUGAAAGCGGGGGACCUUCGGGCCUCGCGCUAUAGGGUUGGCCGAUGGCUGAUUAGCUAGUUGGUGGGGUAAAGGCCUACCAAGGCGACGAUCAGUAGAUGGUCUGAGAGGACGACCAGCCACACUGGGACUGAGACACGGCCCAGACUCCUACGGGAGGCAGCAGUGGGGAAUUUUGGACAAUGGGCGAAAGCCUGAUCCAGCAAUGCCGCGUGUGUGAAGAAGGCCUUCGGGUUGUAAAGCACUUUUGUCCGGAAAGAAAUCCUUGGCUCUAAUACAGUCGGGGGAUGACGGUACCGGAAGAAUAAGCACCGGCUAACUACGUG